AAAGGGGCUGUGGAAACCCAAAUUGUAUUCUGGUACGCUUAAGGGGGGACACUGAAACAUUUGCAGAUUGGAAAAGAACCAUGCCUAACAUAGAUCAACCAUGAAAUUGAGCCAAAUUAUAUUGGACCUGCAAUGGUAAGGCAAAGCAAAGCAGCCUUGUUUAUAUGGCACGUUUUAUACACAAGGCAACUCUAUGUGCUUCACACAGGCAGAGACACAACACCUACCAGCAUUUACAAACACAACAGUGAACAACAUUCAGAAGCAAAGCAGAGAAAACAGAAGUCGCUUAGAAACAUUACCGAAAGCAUGUACAUGGACAACAUUACAACACAUUAACAAAAACCGUUAAAACCAGUUAAAAGUAAAGAAACUAAGACUUGUUUCCAACAAAGAAAUGAGUUCAGAAGAGAUUAUUCACGCUUCACCAUGUUUAUAUUGCACUCUGGGCGCCACUAAUUGACUCAAGUCUGCAGAUCUCAGAGCCCUACUGUGUUUAUAUUCAAUCAGCAUUUCUUUGAGGUAUUCAGGACCACAACCAUUCACUGAUUUAUAGACUAACAGCAGCAUUUUAAAAUCUAUUUUACAGCUAAUUGACAGUUUAAAGCCUUCAGGACUGGAUUAAUAUACUCGCAUCUCUUUGUUGUGAUCAGAACUGACGCUGCGGCGUUCUGAAUGAGCUGCAGCUGUUUGAUGCUCUCCUGAAAAUAAUCAAGUCUACUGGACGUAAAAGCAUGGAUCAUUUUCUCCUAGUCUGCUUGGAGCAUGCAGUCCGUCAAUGUGGAUAUGUUUUUCCACUACUAGCAGGGUGUGUAAGUCAUUGAUUUAAUAUGAUAUCUGAAAGUCAGGUCUGAGUUGAUCAGCAACCCAGGAUUUUGGAUUUGGUUUCUCAAGAGAGUGACCUGCAGGUGUUUUCUAAAAACAAUCCUCUUUAUUGCCGAAAACAAUUACAUCUGUCUUGCUUUGUUUUAGCUAAAGGAAAUGUUGGUUUAUCCAGUUGUGCAUUUGCUCUAGACAGUGAAUUCAUUGAUUGUUAAUUGAUCUGGUAUCAUUUGCCGACAUUGACAAAUAUACUGUAGCUGUUUUGUCAUCUGCAUAACCAUGAUACCCAACAUUGGCAUUCUGAAGCAUUUGACCCAAAGCUAACAUCUACAGAGUGAGCAAAAGGGUUCCACGAACUGACCCUUGAGGGAACCCACAUGUCAUUUCCACAAUUAGAUUCAAAACAAAGUAAUUCCUUUCCUCUGCGUAGGACCUGAAACAUUUUAGGACCCAUCCAAUAAGACAAGCAUCGACAUUUUGUCUGCGUCGUAGUUUGGCAGUGGGCGUAAUGCGCAAAAGUCUUGUGACACGUUUCCAAUUUAACGAAAGGGACUUUGUCCCCUUGACUACUUUUGUCGCACAUAUGGUGUUGAUUCUACUUUUGUUGAACAAAUUGUUGCAUUCCCAGUGAUAAAGAAAAAAAGAAUUAAUGACAAAAAUGUUUGAGGUGGAGUGCGCCGGUUAUUGCAGGAGGAGCUCUAGCACCUCCUAGUGCCUCAAGACUCUUACCUAUAAUGGUUCAAAGAGUUUGGUGUGGGAGGACUUGACUGGCCUCACAAAGCAAUGAAGUAAAAUGUAUUUUGGACAAGAAAUUUGAUCGAUUCAUUUUCCAUAUCUGUGGUAAGGGGAGAGUUUGAAACAAAAGUAGGAGGUUUUUGUGUGUGAGUGUGUGCGUGUGCGUGUGCGUGAGAACUUCACUGGCCUCACCAAGUGAUGAAGUAGAAUGUAUUUUGGACACGCAAUUUGUUCAAUUUACUUUCCAUUUCCGUAGUAAGAAGGCGUAAAGGGUUUUUUUAAGCAUUGCUGCCUAGAGAGGUUCGCAGUCUUUAAAAUGAUUUUUAAAAUUUGCUAAGUGCACUUAUUCAUAAUUGCACCCAAUUAUCAUUUUCAUUUGGACCGGUCAGUUAAUACGGGAGUGCACAUUUCCCAUCUCUUCCUUUCACUCUUCUUCCUUCAGCUGUCUGACGUGAUUUUGGGUACUUUGGACACUUUCCCAGGUGUACACAGAUGUGAAAGAUUAAGGAUAGAAUUGGAUGGCUUAUUACAAAGUACAAGACC